UACGUAGGGUGCGAGCGUUAAUCGGAAUUACUGGGCGUAAAGCGUGCGCAGGCGGUUUUGUAAGCCAGAUGUGAAAUCCCCGGGCUUAACCUGGGAAUGGCAUUUGGGACUGCAAGGCUUGAGUUUGGCAGAGGAGACUGGAAUUCACGGUGUAGCAGUGAAAUGCGUAGAUAUCGUGAGGAAGACCAGUGGCGAAGGCGGGUCUCUGGACAGUUCCUGACACUGAGGCACGAAGGCCAGGGGAGCAAACGGG
rnacentral:rRNA from 1 species